CAGUCGCCGCGGUAAUACGUAGGGUGCGAGCGUUAAUCGGAAUUACUGGGCGUAAAGCGUGCGCAGGCGGUUUGUUAAGACAGAUGUGAAAUCCCCGGGCUUAACCUGGGAACUGCAUUUGUGACUGGCGAGCUAGAGUAUGGCAGAGGGGGGUAGAAUUCCACGUGUAGCAGUGAAAUGCGUAGAGAUGUGGAGGAAUACCGAUGGCGAAGGCAGCCCCCUGGGCCAAUACUGACGCUCAUGCACGAAAGCGUGGGGAGCAAACAGGAUUAGAUACCCGAGUAGUCCCUGUCUCUUAUAC
rnacentral:rRNA from 1 species